rnacentral:rRNA from 1 species
ACCUAUUAGAAUCCAAUAUGUGAACGUCUUAUAGCAUCGAACUCUCUAUUUUUUAACUCUGUAAAAGGAGGAAGAAAUAUGGAAGGGAGGGUAUAUUAUAUAGAUGUAGAAGAUGAGGAUCAUAUUGGAGAGGUCAGCAUCAGUUGGAAUAGAAAGACAUGAUAAUGCAGAAUGUAGGUUCCAUGUGGACUGUAUUAUAGAUGCAUUAUUUUUAUUAAACUUUCGAUUUCGACUGAUGCGUAUAUAAUAUGAUGGAAUUUUCGGGCUACACUCACAUGAGAUAAUAAUAUAGCUCUUGUGUGAGUACU